rnacentral:rRNA from 1 species
UUGACCUCGGAUCAGGUAGGGAUACCCGCUGAACUUAAGCAUAUCAAUAAGCGGAGGAAAAGAAACCAACAGGGAUUGCCCCAGUAACGGCGAGUGAAGCGGCAAGAGCUCAAAUUUGAAAGCUGGCUCCUUCGGGGUCCGCAUUGUAAUUUGUAGAGGAUGCUUCGGGAGCGGUCCCCAUCUAAGUGCCCUGGAACGGGACGU